rnacentral:rRNA from 1 species
UACGGAGGGUGCAAGCAUUGAUCGGAAUUACUGGGCGUAAAGGGCGCGUAGGCGGCGCGAAAAGUCAGAUGUGAAAUUCCGGGGCUCAACCCCGGAGCUGCAUUUGAAACUUUCGUGCUAGAGUGCAGUUAGGGUAAACGGAAUUCCACGUGUAGCGGUGAAAUGCGUAGAUAUGUGGAAGAACACCGGUGGUGAAGACGGUUUACUGGGCUGUAACUGACGCUGAGGCGCGAAAGCAUGGGGAUCAAACAGG